UCUUGCAGCCCAAGCCUCCAGAGCGAACGUUUCACCUAGGGCAGGAGGCAAACGUCCUCCCAGGGGGUUGACGGUUGAGGACUUCCAAGGCUGUUUUCCUUCUUUUCUUCCACGUGCGGAAGGAAAAAAAAAACUAAAACUAGAUUUUCAUAACUGCUAACACAGACAAAGAGCACCAGAAGCAUGGAAAAAAAAAAAAAAUGGAACUGCCCGUCCCCAGUUUCCCCAGACUUACUUUAUUACGGUGGCUUUCCAACUGAAAAAUCUCACUAGAAACAACCUGAAAAUUGUUGAAGGACCAGGAGAAAGCAGAAGACAUUAAACAACAACAACAACAACAACAAAAACAGUUUCACUGCAGUAAAAGAUUUGGACGCACAAAAAUCAGAAAUCAAUGUCCGAAUGAAUGUCCUUAAGUGAAGUGUUUUACACAUAGAAAUUAUUGCCCUAGAAACUCUAUCCCAACUCAAGAGCAGAAAAGAUUAUUAUUUUCCACCUUAAAUGAGGGCACGAGAAUCAGAGGAUUAUUUUUUCAGGUAUAAAAACUUUAUUGAAGAGAAAGAAUGUAAGCGAAGAGUAGUAGGAUAUGAAACGUGGCUUUCUUUUUUUAAUGAAAAUGCAACUUCUUAUUGGUUUUCUUUUCUUAGGCUGAUAUAUAAGCUCUUUAGGCCAUGUAUAUGUGGAGGGUGACUUUCCAGGAGAGAUGGCACUAUCUUCUCUCCUGUGGAUUAGACAUUGUGUUGCCAAAAACAAUUUAGCUCUUCAACAAGAUUUUGUGCUGCUCCAAUAGUGCUGGCCUGGUAGACCAGGGAAAGAAGAAUUAAGAACCACUGACCUGAAGCCUGAUUUUGACUCUACACUGCUUCAUUAUAAUAAAUGUAAAAAAAAAAAAUCCACAGGAAUCCUAGGAGGUAGGAAAGACAGUGGGGAGUGGUGGGCUCUUAUUCUUGUGCUUCAAAACCAGAAUAGGUACUGCUUGGGUGCAGAGCGGAAAAGACAACUCCAUUAAAAAUGAAUGGUACUGGGAAUUUUACUUCUACCCAGAAUGUAGAAAGCCAAAUAAAAUGUAACCCCCACUCCAAUAAUAACAACAACAACAAAGCUGGAUAGUAUGAAAAAAUACUUUUUUUAUCAGAGAGCUACAUUUCUAUAGCUAUGGUUGCUGUAAAGAAACUAGGCAAAUUGAUUCUAAAGGACAGCAAGCCCCUCAGAAAAAGGAUGGGACACACAAACCAUUUUACUUUUCAAAGAGCACAGAAGGAAGAAAGAGCAGUCAUAAAGGAAGAUAGAAACAGUUGAAAUUUUAAUGAAUUCUUAAAGGCCAAGGGAAGCUUAACAGUUUAGAAACCCUAGAAGCCUAAGAAACAAGGGGAGUCUAUACCCAUUUACCAGAUCUUUGCUUAAGGGAAGAAAGCAUUUGGUCGUGGUAGACUGUCCCUGAGAAAGAAGAAGGAAUACUUGCCCUCCCACCUCCACUGACCCUUCUGCUAUCCAAAGCAAAAGCAGUUUUGCCUCUGGGAUUGAGGCAGGAAACUCUCAUGCCCUCCAGUCUGUGACUAAGGUUAUCUGUUACAGAAGAAAAAACCCACUGAAGGAGGAGCAGCAAACCAUCCUGUCCUAUGGCCUACCUUAAGAUUGACUGCCACCAGAGAGAGAGAUAGAAAUAAAACAGUUUGCCAAAAAGAGAGGAGCAGGAACUUCAUUUCUUCCCAAGAACCCCACUGAAACAAGGCAAAGCCCAAACUUGAGGUUCAGGCAUUCAGGGCAUGUCCAAAAUUGAGGCUGGACCAGGGACAACCUAGCUUCUGCCUCGACGAGGAGUUUUGCAUGAGUGAAAAAACAGCACUCCACCAAUAUAGAAUCAGCUACAAAACAUAAAAUGCAUCUCAAAAAGAAAGAAAGAAAAAAACCCACAAGGUUUGGCAAAAGAAAGAAGAAAAAUAAAACUGAGUCCUCUGUCUUGCCUCAUCGCCUGGACUGAUAUGUCUUUGGACUCAAGCCAGGACUGACACCAUCAACCCCUUCUCUGCUACACAGGACUUCUGACUCAGACUAAAUUACAUUGUCAGCUUUCCUGUUUCUCCAGCUUCAAUAUGGCAUGUUAUAGGAUACCUCAGCCUCCAUAAUUAUGUUCUGAAAAAGACAACAUGUUGAACAGUGAGAAAUGGAGGAGUGGUGUGAUUAAUGGUCAAGAGAGAGAAGCACAGAAGCAUAACUCUUCUUCUUGACAGAUGCUCCAGCUGAUUACAUACAGUCAAGUAACAGAGUUGUUACAGAUAUUUGGCCAACUGUUUUAGGUACCAUCUGCUCAUUUUCCCCCAGAAGAGUAACCCCUUUUCAAAGGUUAAAGGGAAAGUUAAAAAGCCUGUUUAGACACUUCACAAAUUUUCACCAAUUUCCAGAAUUGUGAGUCACUUAAAUGAAAUGCAAAGAAAAGUUAACAUCAUAAGGGCAAGGGCCAUCAGAUUUGAGCUGGACAGAAAAAAAAAAAGAUUACAAAGCAAAUAAAUACAGCUUGUCAUUAUUUCUUUUGUA